AGCACCGUAGCACACGUAACACAAGAUCACUUAUGAAAAACAUUGUCCCAGAAGCAUUGUGGACGCAUAGGUGAAGAUCUGAUUAUUUUGAGGGUAACAGAAAUCGCCAGUGUGAUCGCACAGAACAUGAGCCACGUUUCCCAUUAUGAUAGAGGCAAUCGGCAGAAUUGCUCAGCGGGACGUAGACGCCU